UACAGAGGUCCCGAGCGUUGUUCGGAUUCACUGGGCGUAAAGGGUGCGUAGGUGGUCGGGUAAGUCUGAUGUGAAAGCUCUGGGCUCAACCCAGAAAUGGCAUUGGAUACUAUCCGGCUAGAGGAGUGGAGGGGGGACUGGAAUACUUGGUGUAGCAGUGAAAUGCGUAGAUAUCAAGUGGAACACCAGUGGCGAAGGCGAGUCCCUGGACACUUCCUGACACUGAGGCACGAAAGCUAGGGGAGCAAACAGGAUUAGAAACCUGGUAGUCC
rnacentral:rRNA from 1 species